AGCGCUGUUCCUCCUUGGCUUGUGCUGUCUCCCUGGUUUGGAUAUUUGUUCUCUCAGGAUGUUUAUCUGAGACCCAUUUUAUAUUUAAGGCCCCGUUGCAGUCUGCAGUGGUGGCGUGUGUUGGCGUGACUGCAGCAAUCAGACUGUUGUCUUUCUGACAAUGCUAUUUCAACUUCCUGAGAAGUUCUGUACUUUUAAUAUUUUUUAUUUAAAAAGGCAUUUUUCCAUUUUUCCUUUUUGAGUGGUGAAUUACAAAUUUAAAAUCAAAUGCUCUUGUCCCUUUCACCUGUCUGCAUUCCCACAAUGCCCAGCGUCUGGCCCUCUUACAGCCAUCCUCACGUGGACGCAAAGCCCACUCCUGGACCCUCAUCUCUUUUGCAAGCUACAGCC
rnacentral:lncRNA from 1 species